rnacentral:rRNA from 1 species
GUGAGGAAUAUUGGUCAAUGGACGCGAGUCUGAACCAGCCAAGUAGCGUGAAGGAUGACUGCCCUAUGGGUUGUAAACUUCUUUUAUAAGGGAAUAAAGUGAGGGACGUGUCCCUUUUUGUAUGUACCUUAUGAAUAAGGAUCGGCUAACUCCGUGCCAGCAGCCGCGGUAAUACGGAGGAUCCAAGCGUUAUCCGGAUUUAUUGGGUUUAAAGGGAGCGUAGGUUGACAUAUAAGUCAGCUGUGAAAGUUUACGGCUCAACCGUGAAAUUGCAGUUGAUACUGUAUGUCUUGAGUGUACAAGAGGUGGGCGGAAUUCGUGGUGUAGCGGUGAAAUGCUUAGAUAUCACGAAGAACUCCAAUUGCGAAGGCAGCUCACUGGGGUACAACUGACACUGAGGCUCGAAAGUGUGGGUAUCAAACAGGAUUAGAAACCCGGGUAGUCC